GCGCCGAUAGUGUAGUGGUUAUCACCGGGCGUUGCCAACGCUCGAACUCGGGUUCGAAUCCCGAUCGGCGCA
rnacentral:tRNA from 2 species